ACGGAGGAUGCAAGCGUUAUCCGGAUUCAUUGGGUUUAAAGGGUGCGCAGGCGGAAUGAUAAGUCAGUGGUGAAAUCCUACAGCUCAACUGUAGAACUGCCAUUGAUACUGUUGUUCUUGAGUACACUUGGAGUGGGCGGAAUGUGUCAUGUAGCGGUGAAAUUGUUAGAUAUGACACAGAACAGCGAUAGCGUAGGCAGCACACUAAAUUGAAACCGACGCUCAUGCGGGAGAGCGUGGUGAUAAGGCAG
rnacentral:rRNA from 1 species